GCCCGGAUGGCUCAGUCGGUUGAGCGUCCGGCUUCGGCUCGGGUCACGAUCUCACAGUUUGUGGGUUCGAGCCCCGCAUCGGGCU
rnacentral:tRNA from 1 species